UGCCGGAUGGUGUAACGGUAGCACAACAGACUCUGGAUCUGUUUGUCCUGGUUCAAAUCCAGGUCCGGCAACCA
rnacentral:tRNA from 1 species